CUCUCUCUCUCUCUCUCUGUCUCUCUCUUCCCUGCACUGCACUACUAAAAUAAAAUGUGCGCCGCCCAAAAUCCGCCGCCCUUUGGCUAUACCUGGGGCUUCGCUGACAACGGCAGCCGCACCGCCGAAUCGGUACUGGAGAUAUCGCCGAACAUCAAUUACACCGUCAGCGGGGAGUCGAUGCCCUACUUGCUGGCCACGGACGGAUCGCUGGCCGUUCAAAAGGAUGUCAAAGGCGCCCUGGCAGCAGCCGGCAACAAGAAUGUCGUCCGUCGGAUGUUCGUUGUAAACGAUCCCUCAUUUCCGCCAGGAACUCAAAGAGUUAUCACCACUGGAGGUGCCUCGACGGUGGUCAAGAAGCAGGACGCCAAUCAGCAGGUCCUCAGCCUGGACAAGAACUAUCUUCUGGUGGAUCAGGCCACGGCAGCAGCAGCUGCAGCCGCGGCGGCUGGGGAUCCGACAGCCCAUCACCAGUUAACCAAUGGAAGCAUCGUCGAUGCCAAAACCGGGCAGACAGUGUUGACCGCCGGAUCGGCGGCCAAGUCACAUUUUAGCUCGAUCGGAGCCUUGCAUCUCACGCAGGAGGAGUGCAACGAGAUCCUGAUCAAGCGCGCUAUCGCCGCUGGCCACCAUCAGACGCACACGAUCACAACUGCCGACGGAGCGCAUCAUCAUGCCGCGUCUGGCGGGACACCAAUUCAAGUACAGAAAGUGAUCCAGGGACUCGAGGAGAACGAGGACUCGCAGGGCGACGCACCCAACUUGAAGUUGGAGCCAGGCACAUUAGAGUUGUCCCCCAAGACCGAAAUACAGGAAUCAAUGCAUUUCAGCGAAACGGACGCCACUAUUAAGAAGGAACGCCCGUACAGUUGCGACGAGUGCGGCAAGUCCUUUCUGCUCAAGCAUCACUUGACGACCCACGCACGCGUACACACAGGUGAACGCCCCCAUAUCUGCACCCAUUGCGGCAAGAGCUUCGCGCACAAGCACUGCCUUAACACACAUCUGUUGCUGCACUCGACGGAGCGGCCGUAUCAGUGCCAGGAGUGCAAGAAGAGCUUCACCCUCAAGCACCACUUGCUGACGCAUUCGCGCGUCCACAGUCGCGAGCGUCCGUUCGUCUGCCAGGAGUGCGGACGUGCCUUUCCCCUCAAACGACACCUGGUAACGCACAGCAAGUUCCACGCCGGUGAACGACCGUAUGUGUGCGAGGAAUGCGGUGAGAGUUUUGCCCAGGAGAAUCACCUGAUUAUGCACUCGCGCUUUCAUGGUUCCUUGAAUCCAUUCGUUUGCGCCGAGUGCGGAGCCUCGUUUCCGCGCAAGUUCCAGCUGGUUAAUCACGGACGGAUCCACGGCAAGAUUCCCCACUCGUGCACAGUGUGCGGCAAGGAAUUUCUGCAAAAGCGAACGCUAGUUUCCCACAUGAGGCGCGUACACACUGGAGAGCAGGCACAUCCCUGCGUCAGCUGCGGCGAGGGCUUCCUCACCAAGGCCGAACUGCACCAGCACGUGAGGACGGCGCACAACGGCGUGAAUCCCAAUACGAGCAGUGCCACCAUUAUCGCCAAUCAACAGCUGCAACAGCCCCACCACCAUCCUGGCCAGCCGACGCAUCCGCAGACCAUAACAGUGGUCAGCAAUCCGGCCAAUUCCACGCUCCUGACGGUCUCCACCACGGAUGCCAAUGGCGUGUCACGUCCGCAGUUUGUUUGCCGGGAAUGUAGCAGCGCCUUUAACAGCCGGGAAGCAUUGGCCCUGCACUUGCGCCUUCACACCGGCGAUAAGAGUUUGAUGACCGAUCUGUGCGCCCUGACGGCCGCGCUGCCUGGCCACUUUUUGAGCACGGCCAGCCUGAAUCCCGGCACAGUGGUCACGGCCAAUCCGAAUCUGGUGGGCCAGAGCCCAGUGCCCGUACAGAUAAUAUCAUCCACCGGGCAGGUGAUGUCACAGACCACGCUGGUGCAGGCCGCCAACUCGACCCAUCCGCAAGCGGUGGUCACCGCAGUGCCCACUAUGCCGGUGCACGGCCAACACCAGCAUCUGCAGCACGUUCAGCAGCAGCAGCAACAGCAACAGCAGCAGCACGUUGUGUCGGUGGCGCCGGCCAACAAACCGAAGUCGCACUUCUGCGCCAGUUGCGGCAAGGGAUUCGCCGCCAAGCACGGACUCAUGCAGCACAAUCGCCGGCAUCCGAACGGCGGUUGCACCGUUCGUACCCAUGUGUGCGAGUGCGGCAAGGCCUUCUUCCAGAAGAACCACCUGAUGCUGCAUCAGCGCCAGCACUUGGAGACGAAGCCAGCCAUAUCGCAGCAACAGCUUGUUGUACCAACUACUUCUUACUAAGAAAAAAAAAAAAGAUUAAAAAAUAAUACAGAAUGAUAAAAACCAGAAAAAAGAACAUAAAAAAGCUAAUCAAAGAUAAAAAAAGAACUCGAGCGAUAUCCAUUCGCACAAGCAGCAGCACACGCCUUCACGUUCAUGCCUCAUCUCCGGGUCCAACUCUCUGGGAUCUCCGGGUCCAACUCUAUCCGAUCUGAUCGGAUGGACUUGGACUUGGACUUGGAAACGUUUUGAUCCGAUGGGGUGGUGGGCGGUGGUGCGCUGGUGCGCUGGUGUGUCUAUGUUUCCCCCAACUCCUGACGACAAGAAAUAAAUAAAUACCUUCUCACCAGACAAAGAACAUAUAUGUGUAUAAUAAAUUAAAAAAAAAAAAGAAAAGAAAUCCAUAACUCUGCAAUGAAUAUAAAUCGUAAAUCCGUAUCGUAUCCAAUCGAAUUCCAUUCAAAGGCUUCAGUUUAAGCGUUUAGGAACAACAGGCGGAUGCCAGCGGCCAGCAGCCGGUUCAAGUACAGAUCUUGUCCGAUGGCCAGAUACACGGCAAGGUCAUCAAGUACGAGGUAUGCCGCAACGCCCUACCGGAGGACCAGCAGCAGGCGGAGUAACCCCCGAUAAAAAAAAUGUAAAUAUAUGGCAGUUACAGAUCGUACAUAUGUACACACCAGCGCACUCUCGAAGGACACACAGAACACUAACAGAAGGAGAAGUGGAUCCUUGGAUCCUUGGAGUGGGAGGCGAUUCCCUUAGGUGUAAUAUUUUUAGUUAGGAUUAGGAUAGCGUUUAAGUAAUUGCAUUGUACACAUAAUAGUUAACUAGCGUUACAUACAUGCAUACACUUACUAUGUAUACACACAAUACAUAUAUAUACACAUAUAUAUAUAUAUAUAUGAUCCGUAUAUAAGAUCAUAUACGGACCUAGACUUAAACGAUUAUCUGUUAAUUUUUGCGAUGCGUUGGUCGCAUCUAAAACAACAACCUGUAUGAGUUGCAAGUUUUAAAGUGUUACGUUCGAUUGGUUUUACGCAUUACACGACUUUUAAUACCCUAACAUACCUAUACACGAAACAUAUACAUAUAUAUAAAUAUGUAUGACUAGAUGAGAGAUAUAUAUAUUUAUGUAUAUUCCCCGGGUGUAAACUGUAUACAUAUUAACACAAGAAACAAGAAACAGAUUAUACAUAGACGAGUACGAGUACGGAUAGUUCUAGAAGACUAGUGUCUAGCAAGCGUUGCACUUUGAAAUAUACGUAACCAGUAGCUCCACUCCAUGUGGAAGUGGGUGGGUGGUGUGUGGGCAUGCCACAUUUUGUUUGUACAUAUAGAAAUCGGUGUUAGCUGCAGCAGCCAACGCCAGCCAAGAGAGAAGAACUGGUCCGAUCGGAGUGGAGUGGAGUGGAGUGGAGUAGGUGCCUGGCACAAUAACUAGCUAACAGAGAUACCCCAACCAGAAGAAUUAGACUAUAGACAGUCUGUAGAAAAACUGAAAAAUACCAUUUUUUUGACCAGAAGUAGCAACAGAGCAGCUACAAGAAACAGACAUACUUAUACCAGAUACCACAUACCAGAUACCCCAACCGACAUCAUCCAAAAUGCACGCUUGGCGACGAAUAUCACACUGUAAAAAAUAACAAUUAAGUCAUAGGAAUGCGUUAAAACCAGACAGAAAAUAAUUGGUAAUUAUUAUAAUCGGAUAAA
rnacentral:misc_RNA from 1 species